rnacentral:lncRNA from 7 species
GAGUUGUACAGAGCUGCCCGGCGCGGACCCGGAGUCCGAGCGCAGAAACCCCACUGCCACCGCGAGGCGGCUUGCAGCGGGAGGCGCCUGCUUCUUUCCUCAUCCCCAAGAUCAGGCAUCGAGAGCCCCCACCUAGAGCCAUGGCCAGCCCCCCAGGCAGCCCUGAAGAUGCAGACAAGCUGAGAGGAGGCAGGGAGGGCCGGCAGAGGAGGGAGGACGACGCUCCGGAGCAGAAGAGGUUGAGGCUGGGGCUGCGAGCGGGAAGCGAGCCCCAGGACGGAGCCACGACACCGCGUCCAGCCCAGGACGAGCUCGACACCCACACAGGUGGCGAAGGCAGAAGUGCUCUGCUGUCUCUGCCUCCCAGCCUGGUGGAGAGUCAGAACAGUCACUGUUAAUGGAUCAUCCAAGACUCAUGAGGUGAAUGAAACCACUUGGUAUCUGUGAUGGGUGAGCUCUAAAGAUGGAGUUCAUUUUUCCAGGGUUGCCAGUAGGUGACUGAAGAGUUGGUUUCUUAAGCAUCAUGGACUGGUUGUCGAGAAGGAACUGCAGGCUUGCUUGCCUUUUCUACUGUAUUUCAUGAGAGCAGUUGGAGGAAGCCCCAUCACCUAGCCACCUCACCUCACCUGUUCCUGCUGGAGGAACCACAGCUCUGCCUUAGGGGAACACAACUGCAUCAAAUGGAUCUACGCCUCGGGGCAAUGCAUUAU